rnacentral:rRNA from 1 species
CUACGGGAGGCAGCAGUGGGGAAUUUUGGACAAUGGGGGCAACCCUGAUCCAGCAAUGCCGCGUGUGUGAAGAAGGCCUUCGGGUUGUAAAGCACUUUUGUCCGGAAAGAAAUCCUCUGCCCUAAUAUGGCGGGGGGAUGACGGUACCGGAAGAAUAAGCACCGGCUAACUACGUGCCAGCAGCCGCGGUAAUACGUAGGGUGCAAGCGUUAAUCGGAAUUACUGGGCGUAAAGCGUGCGCAGGCGGUUCGCUAAGACAGAUGUGAAAUCCCCGGGCUUAACCUGGGAACUGCAUUUGUGACUGGCGGGCUAGAGUAUGGCAGAGGGGGGUAGAAUUCCACGUGUAGCAGUGAAAUGCGUAGAGAUGUGGAGGAAUACCGAUGGCGAAGGCAGCCCCCUGGGCCAAUACUGACGCUCAUGCACGAAAGCGUGGGGAGCAAACAGGAUUAGAUACCCUGGUAGUCCACGCCCUAAACGAUGUGAACUAGUUGUCGGGUCUU